rnacentral:rRNA from 1 species
AACGAACGCUGGCGGCAGGCUUAACACAUGCAAGUCGAGCGCCCCGCAAGGGGAGCGGCAGACGGGUGAGUAACGCUUGGGAAUCUACCCAUCUCUACGGAAUAACGCAUGGAAACGUGUGCUAAUACCGUAUACGUCCUUCGGGAGAAAGAUUUAUCGGAGAUGGAUGAGCCCGCGUUGGAUUAGCUAGUUGGUGGGGUAAAGGCCUACCAAGGCGACGAGCCAUAGCUGGUCUGAGAGGAUGAUCAGCCACACUGGGACUGAGACACGGCCCAGACUCCGACGGGAGGCAGCAGUGGGGAAUAUUGGACAAUGAGCGCAAGCCUGAUCCAGCCAUGCCGCGUGAGUGAUGAAGGCCCUAGGGUUGUAAAGCUCUUUCACCGGUGAAGAUAAUGACGGUAACCGGAGAAGAAGCCCCGGCUAACUUCGUGCCAGCCGCCGCAGUAAGAC